UCCUCGGUAGUAUAGUGGCGUAUCCCCGCCUGUCACGCGGGGGGACCGGGGUUUGUUUCCCCCCCCGGGGAG